UUUUCGAACAGCUGUUAUGAAGUGCAACAGGUAGGAAUUUGUGCUGUGAUAAGAACCCGUAAAAAUAAAGGCUAAUGCAGAACCUCGAAACGAGAAAAAACAUUAUUUCAAA